UAAACAUGUAAUUAUUUCAACUCACUAUAUUUAUUUCUUAAUUAAAACAAGUAGGCCACGAUUCUCAGUUUGUAGCUUUAGUUUCUGUAACUCACUUCACUCUGUAACCACAUGAAUCAUAAAAUGAGUAAUAAAAAUCAUGUUCUCUACAAUGCAACUAUAAGUUUUUAUUUAGUUUUAUCUCAGUAAAUUGUUAUCUGGGAACUGGGAAGGGAAAAAAAAUUGUUUUUCACUUAGGUAGAUGCUUCAUAACACCAAUAUCAUUGAGAAAAAAAAAUCUUGAGAUCUGGUCAGUUGAUCAGAGGGAUUUAACGCCACUACUUUCUUACAUUCGUGCAUCUCCUUUCUAAGUUCACUUUGAAUUUACCAAAUACUGGCUCUCUUCAUUCUUCCUUUUUGUUUCAGGUUUAGUGAAUUUAUCAGUUAUUGAAUUCUGUAUGCAGGAACUUUGAAUUUGGAAACAGAAAGUUUUUAGUGAAUUUACAGCAAAUGCAAGAAGAUAAAUAGAAGAAUCAGAUAAUCUGAAGAAAUUUCUGUGAAAAUCUGAUGAUGGGAUGUAUUGCUUGGAUAGUUUCUGGAUUUGAGAAGCUGAUGUAGCUAAGUUCCUGAGGCUGGAGAUGAAGUUUUUGAGGUACGUCCUACCUUGGCUGAUGCUCAUCUAGGAGGUGAUGAUUUCGACAAGGCAAGCUCUACAACGUCUCAUAGAGACUGCUGAGAAAGAGAAGAUGGAGCUGUCAUCUCUGACUUAGACCAAUAAUAUUAGUUUACCUUUCAUUAUCGCCAUUUGGAUGGCCCAAAACACAUUGACACCACGCUGACUAGUGUCAAAUUUGAAGAACUGUGUUCAGAUUUGUUAGACAGUCUAAUUGCCUGCUUAAGUUCACUGGAUUACAACUCAUAAGCUUUCAGCACCAGUUGAAACUUCCAUGAGAGAAACUUCAAAGAUAUGGAUGUAAUUCAACUUGUAUCCCUGCUGUUUAGGAGCUGAAAAAUAUGGAUGAAGUUUUUGUUCUUGGGGCUGUAGUUCAGAAGGACUUGAAACUUUGAGUGGUGUCAACUUCACCAACUUCCAAAUCAGAGUUGUUCUCCACCGCAGUAGAUGGACAGACCAGUGAAGAGAUUAAUGUCUAUCAGGGUGAGAGAGAGGUAUUUAUCUCUCUGAAAAAAGGGUGAGAGAGAGUUUGUGAGGGACAACCAGUGCUAGCACCAUGCCAAGUGAUGGGGUGGAUAGGAUGGUUAAAGAAGCUGAAAAUUUUGCAAAAGGAAGACCAAGGAAAAGAGGGAUGCCAUAGACACAAAGAAUCAAGCUAACUCAGUUUUGUACCAAACUGGAAGCAACUAAAAGAGCUGGGAGAAAAUGUUCCUAGCUAGACAAGGAGAAUGUAGAGGCUAAAGUGAAUGAGGUCAUGGAUGCCAUCAUUGGUGGUUCUACUCAAGCCAUUAAAGAUGCAAUGGCUGUCCUGAAUCAAGAAAUUAUGUAACUGUGGUAGUCAAUGUUGAUGUGAAUUUGAAUUGGUUCAGAACCUUAGGAACAAGUACAAGAAGUCCAUGGCUUAGGUGAUUAUCUUGUUUUGUGUUUCAUUCUUUUUUCCCUUUGCAUAAAAAUUUCAUUCUAGAUAUGAUUCACAUUUGUUUGUUCAUUCUAAUGAUUUCUGCCUUUAUAUAAACUAGUGGUACUCUAUCUCUAUUUGGUCAUCUCUUAUAAAGUAGAAAGAGGAAGGCAAUAUUUCCCAUGUGGGACAACAAAUUUGCCUAAGGUUACAACAUGGUUUAGCCCUUGGCCUUUGAAGCAAAAAUUGUCCCCACAAUCAUUAUUGAGAACUACCCUCUAGGAAGCUGUUUUAUGUUCAGUUUGGACAUGCAGAAGUGCUGUGAUGGAUUUUACUUUAAGCACGCUAUUUGGAUACAAAGUCUACUUGCCUGCUUAAGUUCACUGGACUACGACUGCAAUUAACUUUCUCAUUGGCUUUGAGCACCAGUUGAAACUUCCUUAAGAGAUACAAAGCUUUACUUCAAAGAUAUUGAUGAGGUGGAUAGGAUGGUUAACGAAGUUGAAAAUUUUGCAAAAGGAAGACAAGGAAAAGAGAGAUGCCAUAGACACAAAGAACCAAGCUAACUCAGUUUUGUACCAUACUAGAAGCAACUAAAAUAGCUAGGAGACAAUGUUCCUAGCUAGACAAGGAGAAUGUAGAGGCUAAAGUGAAUGAGAUCAAGGAUGCUAUCUCUGGUGGAUCUACCCAAGCCAUUAAAGAAGCAAUGGCUGUCCUGAAUCAAGAAAUUAUGUAACCGUGGUAGUCAGUGUUGAUAUGAAUUUGAAUUGGAUUGUCUAUUAGCUUUUUUCGGAUUGACUUCUUUGCAUGGACGGCAACUAUUGUUUAGCCUUGAAUUAUGUUAGAGUUGAGAGAGAACUCUUUGAUAUAGAGUUAUUUGGGUGUAUUGGGGUUUGGGUUUGUGAGAGUGGUUCUACACCACCUUUGUACUCUCCAUAUUUGUUAGUGAAACUCUCUCCUUGUCACCGCCCGUGGAUGUAGGCCAAAGGCCGAACCACGUAAA